AUUCCUCCUUCAGGAGCUGGGGUGGGUUGAGGGAACGAUAAAGAUCCUGAUAACCUUGCAUUUCUCCAGCGAGAAAGAAGAAAUUCCGUGGAUAGGGAGCCAGCCAGGUUUCCUGCAGAGAUUCACGGGAAGCUUUUGAGCAGGGGAGUCAGAAGAUGAGCGAUUCUCACAGUAGACGAGGAGCCUGUUUUUCAGCUAGCUGCUGCAAGGAGCUGGACAUUUCUCCCUUCAAAUAGGACCUGGAAGGCCUGGAAGCAUCUGGAGAAGGGCAUGGCUAAGAGCUAUGUGAUCGGAUCCCCGGUUUGGCAGAGUAGACAUGCGAGAAGACUGAACGUUUCAUCGUUGAAACCUCUUAAAGGUGGAAUGUGUGGCAGAAAGAACGUCUGAGAAGCUCACGCGAUU
rnacentral:lncRNA from 10 species